rnacentral:rRNA from 1 species
GCACCACCAGGCGUGAAGCCUGCGGUUUAAUUGGAGUCAACGCCGGGAAUCUUACCGGGAGCGACAGCAGAGUGAAGGCCAGGUUGAAGGUCUUGCCAGACGAGCUGAGAGGAGGUGCAUGGCCGUCGCCAGUUCGUGCCGUGAGGUGUCCUCUUAAGUGAGGUAACGAACGAGACCCGUGCCCCAUGUUGCCACCAAGUCCUAAAGGGAUGUUGGGCACUCUUGGGGGACCGCAGCCGAUAAGGCUGAGGAAGGUACGGGCAACGGCAGGUCAGUAUGCCCCGAAUCUCCCGGGCCACACGCGGGCUGCAAUGGUAGUGACAGAGGGCUGCGACCCCGAGAGGGGGAGCCAAUCCCUAAACACUACCUCAGUUGGGAUCGAGGGCUGCAACCCGCCCUCGUGAACAUGGAAUGCCUAGUAACCGCCGGUCAUCAUCCGGCGGUGAAUACGUCCCUGCUCUUUGCACACACUGCCCGUCGAACCACCCGAAUGAGGUUUGGGUGAGGCAUAGUCGAAAGUUGGCUGUGUCGAACCUGGGCCUUGUAAGGAGGGUU